rnacentral:lncRNA from 1 species
GAGCUAGACGGCGGUCGGGUAGGUGACGGCUUGGUUGGGGUCGCUGCGAGGGGACUACUAGGAGCGCCGAGGCGUUCUCUACUCACAUCUUUUAAUCUUGAAGACUAGAAAAUAUAACUGGAUCUACCACUUGUUUGGAAAAUUUCUCUACCAAGCAAUAAAUUACCCGCUGUGCUUUUGUUGUAGUGUAGAAGUUUUUGAGUUCUCCAAAUCUAAACAAGAUUUUGUCCCAUUUUCCCAUGAAGCUACAUUGUUGCUUAUUCACUUUAGUGGCAAGUAUUAUUGUGCCAGCUGCUUUUGUUUUGGAAGAUGUGGACUUCGACCAAAUGGUUUCACUGGAAGCAAAUCGUAGUUCUUACAAUGCAUCCUUUCCCUCAAGCUUUGAACUCUCAGCAAGUUCCCACUCGGAUGAUGAUGUCAUCAUAGCCAAAGAGGGAACUAGCGUUUCAAUUGAGUGUCUUCUCACAGCCAGUCACUAUGAAGAUGUCCAUUGGCACAAUUCAAAAGGACAGCAACUGGAUGGCAGAAGCAGAGGUGGAAAGUGGUUGGUUUCUGAUAACUUCCUAA